GGGAAUCAGCAUCAUCAGAAUCAAAAUCACUUUGCUCCGACUCACAAGAAGGGGCAGUCAGAGGAAGAUGUGGAGGUGGCUGCUAAGAAGGAUGUAGCAUCAUCAGAUCAUGCGUCCAAAGACUGACAGAAAUGGACUAUCUGAUGAGACUGUGCAGAAACUUUUGAAUCAAGUGGAGUAUUAUUUCAGUGAUAUAAAUUUGGCGACUACUGAUCAUUUGAUAAGGUUUAUACACAAGGAUCCUGAGGGAUAUGUGCCAAUAUCUGUUGUUGCUUCCUUCAAGAA
rnacentral:misc_RNA from 1 species